AUUGAACGCUGGCGGAAUGCUUUACACAUGCAAGUCGAACGGCAGCACGGACUUCGGUCUGGUGGCGAGUGGCGAACGGGUGAGUAAUGUAUCGGCACGUGCCCAGUCGUGGGGGAUAACGUAGUGAAAAUUACGCUAAUACCGCAUACGAUCUGUGGAUGAAAGCGGGGGAUCGCAAGACCUCGCGCGAUUGGAGCGGCCGAUAUCAGAUUAGGUAGUUGGUGGGGUAAAGGCCCACCAAGCCAACGAUCUGUAGCUGGUCUGAGAGGACGACCAGCCACACUGGAACUGAGACACGGUCCAGACUCCUACGGGAGGCAGCAGUGGGGAAUUUUGGACAAUGGGCGAAAGCCUGAUCCAGCCAUUCCGCGUGCAGGAUGAAGGCCCUCGGGUUGUAAACUGCUUUUGUACAGAACGAAAAGGUUUCUACUAAUACUAGGAGCUCAUGACGGUACUGUAAGAAUAAGCACCGGCUAACUACGUGCCAGCCGCCGCAGUAA
rnacentral:rRNA from 1 species